rnacentral:rRNA from 1 species
UACGUAGGGGGCAAGCGUUGUCCGGAAUUAUUGGGCGUAAAGGGCUCGUAGGCGGUUUGUUGCGUCAGGAGUGAAAACUCGGGGCUUAACCCCGAGCCUGCUUCUGAUACGGGCAGACUAGAGGUAUGCAGGGGAGAAUGGAAUUCCUGGUGUAGCGGUGAAAUGCGUAGAUAUCGGGAGGAACACCAGUGGCGAAGGCGACUACCUGGCCUGUUUCUUGACGCUGAGGCGCGAAAGCUAGGGGAGCAAACGGG